rnacentral:rRNA from 1 species
AUUGAACGCUGGCGGCAUGCCUUACACAUGCAAGUCGAACGGCAGCACGGGAGCAAUCCUGGUGGCGAGUGGCGAACGGGUGAGUAAAGUAUCGGAACGUGCCCAGUCGUGGGGGAUAACGUAGCGAAAGUUACGCUAAUACCGCAUACGAUCUACGAAUGAAAGCGGGGGAUCGCAAGACCUCGCGCGAUUGGAGCGGCCGAUAUCAGAUUAGGUAGUUGGUGGGGUAAAGGCUCACCAAGCCGACGAUCUGUAGCUGGUCUGAGAGGACGACCAGCCACACUGGGACGGAGACACGGCCCAGACUCCUACGGGAGGCAGCAGUGGGGAAUUUUGGACAAUGGGCGAAAGCCUGAUCCAGCAAUGCCGCGUGCAGGAUGAAGGCCUUCGGGUUGUAAACUGCUUUUGUACGGAACGAAAAGGUUUGGCCUAAUAAGCUGAGCUCAUGACGGUACCGUAAGAAUAAGCACCGGCUAACUACGUGCCAGCCGCCGCCGUAA